rnacentral:rRNA from 1 species
UACGGAGGAUGCGAGCGUUAUCCGGAUUUAUUGGGUUUAAAGGGUGCGUAGGCGGGGUGCCAAGUCAGCGGUAAAAAUUCGGGGCUCAACCCCGUCGUGCCGUUGAAACUGGCGCCCUUGAGUGGGCGAGAAGUAUGCGGAAUGCGCGGUGUAGCGGUGAAAUGCAUAGAUAUCACGCAGAACCCCGAUUGCGAAGGCAGCAUACCGGCGCCCGACUGACGCUGAAGCACGAAAGCGUGGGUAUCGAACAGG